rnacentral:rRNA from 1 species
GACGAACGCUGGCGGCGUGCUUAACACAUGCAAGUCGAACGGAAAGGCCCUGCUUUUGUGGGGUGCUCGAGUGGCGAACGGGUGAGUAACACGUGAGUAACCUGCCCUUGACUUUGGGAUAACUUCAGGAAACUGGGGCUAAUACCGGAUAGGAGCUCCUGCUGCAUGGUGGGGGUUGGAAAGUUUCGGCGGUUGGGGAUGGACUCGCGGCUUAUCAGCUUGUUGGUGGGGUAGUGGCUUACCAAGGCUUUGACGGGUAGCCGGCCUGAGAGGGUGACCGGCCACAUGGGGACUGAGAUACGGACCAGACUCCUACGGGAGGCAGCAGUGGGGAAUAUUGCACAGUGGGCGGACGCCUGAUGAAGCAACGCCGCGUGCGGGAUGACGGCCUUCGGGUUGUAAACCGCUUUCGCCUGUGACGAAGCGUGAGUGACGGUAAUGGGUAAAGAAGCACCGGCUAACUACGUG